GACCGAUGUCCGCGCCGUUUCGGCCCGCGCCGGAGUUCGUCGGAUGCGGCCGGCGACAGCCACAGCCCCGCCUAACCCGUGGCGGAGGUGGGACACGGACGCGGUCCCGCGGGUCUCCCGGUGGCAAGCUAGCCACGCCGGAGAUGAGCUGCCAAGCGACUUGGCCUGGGUCGCUCCGUGCUGUUUUCGCCGGAGGCCAUGGUGGCGGUGGCCGGGGUCCGGCGGGGAGGAACCUAGGAACGGGGCUUCGCGGCGCUGCUCGAUGGUGCCGGGCUGAAGCAGGAAUCUGCUUCUGGUAGAUCGGUAGCGGCCACACGCGAAGGAUGCCAGGACUGGAUGGGCGAACUAAACAAGGCCUCAGUGGGAAAGAGUAGUAAUUAGAACAUGUUCCUAGGACCAACUAGCUGGAAGUAGCAGAACACUGCAUCCGAAGUCGCAUUCUGUUAGGUGUUGAUUACUUGAUUUACAGGCAAAGCAGCAGAACCUUUUCAUGGAGCCUUGGCAUACCAGCUGUUUAAUUUUGCCCACUCACUUUGUGCUGUUAUUGGAUGACUGUCACUGCAUUUUCUUUUGUUUGAAGAAGUAAUCACUUUGGAGAUC